rnacentral:rRNA from 1 species
GACGAACGCUGGCGGCGUGCUUAACACAUGCAAGUCGAACGGGAGUAUUGAAGAAGCUUGCUUUAGAGAUACUUUAGUGGCGGACGGGUGAGUAACGCGUGAGGAGCUGUCCAAUGCAGGGGGACAACAGUUGGAAACGACUGCUAAUACCCCAUAAGCCGAGAGGUAAAAGGAUUUAUCCGGCAAUGGAGGUACUCGCGUCCUAUCAGCUAGUAGGUGAGGUAACGGCUCACCUAGGCGAAGACGGGUAGCCGGCCUGAGAGGGCGAACGGCCACACUGGAACUGAGAUACGGUCCAGACUCCUACGGGAGGCAGCAGUGGGGAAUAUUGGGCAAUGGGGGGAACCCUGACCCAGCGACGCCGCGUGGGUGAAGAAAUCCUUCGGGAUGUAAAGCCCUGUUGUGUGGGAAGAGCAGAAGACGGUACCAUACGAGGAAGCCCCGGCAAACUACGUGCCAGCAGCCGCCGUAA